UACGUAGGGGGCAAGCGUUGUCCGGAAUCAUUGGGCGUAAAGAGCGUGUAGGCGGCCUGGUAAGUCCGCUGUGAAAGUCCAGGGCUCAACCCUGGAAUGCCGGUGGAACUGUCGAGCUAGAGUCCGGAGGAGGCGAGUGGAAUUCCUGGUGUAGCGGUGAAAUGCGCAGAUAUCAGGAGGAACACCGGUGGCGAAGGCGGGUCUCUGGGCCGAUACUGACGCUGAGGAGCGAAAGCGUGGGGAGCGAACAGG
rnacentral:rRNA from 1 species